CUCGAGUGGCGAACGGGUGAGUAACACGUGGGUGAUCUGCCUUGCACUUCGGGAUAAGCUUGGGAAACUGGGUCUAAUACCGGAUAGGACAGCUGUUUAGUGUCAGUUGUGGAAAGUUUUUUCGGUGCAAGAUGAGCUCGCGGCCUAUCAGCUUGUUGGUGGGGUAAUGGCCUACCAAGGCGUCGACGGGUAGCCGGCCUGAGAGGGUGUACGGCCACAUUGGGACUGAGAUACGGCCCAGACUCCUACGGGAGGCAGCAGUGGGGAAUAUUGCACAAUGGGCGGAAGCCUGAUGCAGCGACGCCGCGUGGGGGAUGAAGGCCUUCGGGUUGUAAACUCCUUUCGACAGGGACGAAGCGUAAGUGACGGUACCUGUAUAAGAAGCACCGGCUAACUACGUGCCAGCAGCCGCGGUAAUACGUAGGGUGCGAGCGUUGUCCGGAAUUACUGGGCGUAAAGAGCUCGUAGGUGGUUUGUCGCGUCGUCUGUGAAAUUCCGGGGCUUAACUCCGGGCGUGCAGGCGAUACGGGCUGACUUGAGUGCUGUAGGGGAGACUGGAAUUCCUGGUGUAGCGGUGAAAUGCGCAGAUAUCAGGAGGAACACCGAUGGCGAAGGCAGGUCUCUGGGCAGUAACUGACGCUGAGGAGCGAAAGCAUGGGUAGCGAACAGGAUUAGAUACCCUGGUAGUCCAUGCCGUAAACGGUGGGCGCUAGGUGUAGGGGGCUUCCACGUCUUCUGUGCCGUAGCUAACGCAUUAAGCGCCCCGCCUGGGGAGUACGGCCG
rnacentral:rRNA from 1 species